rnacentral:rRNA from 1 species
UGGGGAAUUUUGGACAAUGGGCGAAAGCCUGAUCCAGCAAUGCCGCGUGUGUGAAGAAGGCCUUCGGGUUGUAAAGCACUUUUGUCCGGAAAGAAAUCCUUGGCUCUAAUACAGUCGGGGGAUGACGGUACCGGAAGAAUAAGCACCGGCUAACUACGUGCCAGCAGCCGCGGUAAUACGUAGGGUGCAAGCGUUAAUCGGAAUUACUGGGCGUAAAGCGUGCGCAGGCGGUUUGCUAAGACCGAUGUGAAAUCCCCGGGCUCAACCUGGGAACUGCAUUGGUGACUGGCAGGCUAGAGUAUGGCAGAGGGGGGUAGAAUUCCACGUGUAGCAGUGAAAUGCGUAGGGAUGUGGAGGAAUACCGAUGGCGAAGGCAGCCCCCCGUGGGCAAUACUGACGCUCAUGCACGAAAGCGUGGGGAGCAAACAGGAUUAGAUACCCUGGUAGUCCACGCCCUAAACGAUGUCAACUAGUUGUUGGGGAUUCAUUUCCUUAGUAACGUAGCUAACGCGUGAAGUUGACCGCCUGGGGAGUACGGUCG